AUCAAAAGAAAAAAUAACGGCAAUUUACCGCGAACUAACUUAUCUGCAAUGGUCAUGCAUCUUGGGCAGUGGGCGUGGUUUAAACUGAAGUGGUGCCACACUUACAAACUGGAUACUGCAUGUACUGUGUCGACUCCGCGGGAGCACGUGACGAAGUUCAAUGCAGAGAGCCUCGGUUUCGAUGCAGAUAUGCGCAGACAGCACUAAUGUGAAAUCCCUCUAUACACAGUUGGUAGACAGAUUGUAUGAAUGCCAUUUAUGGAUAAAUUGAACUAGAGGGGGCCAACAACACUUGCUUGAGGAAGUAACAGGUGCCCAGUCAGAGAAGCAUCCCCGGUAGGCGACACGUUGCGUCAAGAAGGAUUUUAUCUAGGCGUGCCCAGUCAGAGAAGCAUCCCCGGUAGGCGACACGUUGCAUCAAGAAGGAUUCUAUCUAGGCCCAUGUUAUUCGCCAAAUGAUGAAAGUGUUGGCAAUUUUAGCGAGUAUAGGAUGUGGUGCGGCAUGACAUCAAAUGCUUUACUGAAAUCCAGGAAAAUCUUAUCAAUUCAAGGAAGUCGUGGAGUAUCCAAAACAUCCGCCCAUUGCAGAUCGUGUUUGUGCCACAUGAUUUUCCAGCACUGAAUCCAUGUUGAUGUGGGUUAUUGAGGCACAACGAUGUUAUGUGGUUGUUGAUGUUUUCGGCAACAGCGCGUUCCAGCACUUCGCAAAGAACUGACUUAAUGCCACUGUGCAGUAAUUCUUGAUGUCGGUACGACUGCCAGAUUUAUAUUCUGGAGUUAUCUGCGAAUGUUUCCAAUCUGAAAAGACAAUGCCACUAGAUAAUGAAGAGUUCAUUAAUCGCAAGAGUGGUAAAGCAAUUAAUGAUGCAGCCACUUUCAACACUUUUGGUGGUAUAGCAUCAUGACUUUGGGCUUUGUGAGGAUUCAAGUUCGAGAGUGAUUUCACCAGCCACUCAAGUUUUACGACAGUUGGGGGAUUUCCGGUAUUGAGAGAUCACAAGUUGGUGGUGUCUCUGGAACAGUUUCAGCUAAAAUGUGAACAGAGGUGAAAUAUUCAUGGAAAGCUUUGCAAAUAUCACUGGGCUCGUGAAGCUCUACCUCAGCUGUUUUGAAUGCGGGUGGGCAUUUGGAUUUCCUUUGGUCUUUGACAAAGCUCCAAAAGCUAAGUUUGUUGUCUACUACUCACACAAGUAAAUGGUGCGGGGCCCAACGGCUCCUCACACAAGUCAACAGGGCAGGGCCAUCAGCGCGGCCUGGCCUGCAUGUCAAAGGUGUACAACUACAAGGUACUGAAGUUAUUGGGGCUGUACCACAUCUGUUGGCCCGCACCUGUGCUGGGAGGCGGAGCCAGUAAUCGUGCAACAAGUUGCCCCAGAAGCUAACUUUCCAGAGACAAAGGGGCGGAGACCAAUGAUGCUUCCAGAUACUUUGACAGGAGCACUUCAUUGUCUGACUACCUAAUCCAUUUUGAGAGCAUCACGGCGAUCAACCAUUGGAGUGAUGCCGAGAAAGUGAUGUUCCUGGCAUCUCAUCAAAAGUGUACAGCCCAAGAAGCUCUGGCCGAUAUGACGCCGAGGGUACGAAAAGACUAUUCUUCUAUCCUUGAGAACUUCGAGCAGCAAUUUGGGGUGGCAGCACAGGUCCCCCUAUAUCAGGCUCAACUGUCUAUACGUACCAGAGGCCGCGAUGAGCCCUUAAGUAGUCUGGGGCAAUCCAUCCGACGUCCAGUCUCCAAGAGCUAUCCAAAACUAAUGGCUCAGGCUCGCGAGGAUUUGGUGGUGGACACAUUUUUGUCAAUGAGAGUGACCACGCUGACCAAAGCUAUCACCGUUGCAACUGAGAUCGAGGCAUUCCUCGAGUCUGAGGCGCAUAAACAGAAGGGAAAAACCAGGGACAUCAGGACAGUGGCCCAGCCCGCUCCAGUUCCAGACGAAAGACCCGGGCCACCCGCUGGGGAUGGAAUUGUAUUAGGUCCCCGGACAAGGGUGGAAUGCUUUGGCUGUCAUGAGCUAGGCCAAAUCCAGCGAAACUGUCCCUAUCAGAGGUGGGGACCGACUUCUGACCGUAAAGGGAACAGAGAGAAGCGGCCACUUAACGUCGCCCCCAGCUGGGGAGCCUGCCGCUCUUCCAAAACGAGCUCCAGUAGGAACAGCUAGAGGGACCUAGGUGACGGUAAAGUGGCCGGGAGGUGGGACUUCCACUGGAUCUGGUGGUGGGCAGUCAGAGGAGCCAGCAGAAGUGGCUGUACACGACUACGUCGAUGGGCUGCGGGCAAGAAUCGAGGGCGCCCAUAAGUUCGCCCGUCGCCACCUACAGAAGAGUCAAAUGUAUCAGAAGCGGCAGUACGACUGCAAGGCAGCAGGGGCCGGGUAUGAGCCCAGGCAGCCGGUAUGGUUGUACAUCCCUGGAUGUACAUCCCUGCCCAAAAGGUAGGCCGCUCGCCCAAGCUCCAAUGCUGGUGGAAAGGUCCCUUCAAGGUAACGAAGAAGAUCGAUGAUGUCACAUAUAAGGUACAGAAGUCCCCUCAGUCCCAAGCCAAAGUGGUCCACUACAACAGACUGAAACCGUACUUUGGUGACGUGGAAGCGGGAUGGUGGGAGCAAGUGGCGCGGCAGUCUCAGCCAGAAAAGGACCACGACGCUGACGGACGCCGACUGUGGUGGACGCGAGUUACCCUGGGCGGCUUCUGACGACCUACUAGGGGCAACAGUAUGGGCCUCGCUGAUUCUGGGAGGAACUGCUCCGACGCACAGAGGUGCAGAGGCAGCCACCACCUCAUCAUUAAGCCCAAACCACGUCACGGGACCCCGGAGUUCUCCCAGACUAGUCGCUGAUGCUGGCCGCCUUGUUUGGGAUACUGAGUUCAAGUUACUCAGACCAGAAUUGACAAUGAUUAUGUGCAUGUACGUCCUAACUGUUCAGCACAAUUGGGAGAUCUACUUGACGAUAUUCAUUGUGCUCUUUCCUAAGUUCCUUAUUUAAUGAUUUUAGUAUGAUGAAUUUUUUUCAAAGGCAAAUCAAAUCAGAAAGGAGUACAAUAAAUUUUCAAAAGAAUUACGAUUGCGCUGAACAAAGACUAAACUCCCUAAAACGCUCACCGUGCAUACUGUAUUUCAUAUCUUUGCCCCCCACAAGACAAACCAUGUCUUUACGAGUUCACGGUGAAUGUCCAAGAAUGUAUGAAAAUUGAAUGUAUACCUGCAGUUAUUUACACAUCGAUGUAAGCUGAUUAUUUAUACGGAAUAUCUUAAUUUCCUUAUGUACUUUUUGUCUAUAGGUAUCCUUCAUGCUACCGUACAGCUGGAGUGAAAGCUAGAGAUAAAUCUGUUCCCCAUGUUUCUUCCGAGCAUUGGAACUCAACAUAACUGCAGUACAUGUAGAUAUCAGAAGCACGGGUACCCACGAAGAAAGCUGCUGUAUUUAUAGCCAAGCAAGGAAAUUUACAGAUAUUAAUCAGCACACGAGAGCAAUAUCCGUUCAUGUUGGAUGUCCCUGGUUUCGUUGAUGGAAAUGCAGUCGAAGCAGGACUGAUCCACAGAGCAGUGAGAAGAGCUUCAUCAAAGUAUCAUUCAUGCUGCUGCUGAAGUAAAAGGAGAUAAAUCUGUUCACCGUGAUGUCAGUUUCAAGGACUCGAAUGAAAUGUAACUGCGGUUUCAUGUACAUAUCAGAGGAACGGCUACUCAACAUGAAGGAAGCUGUUGGACAAUCAAGCAGGGAAAAUAACACGUUAAGUAGUGAUGACACAGAAGAAUCUUCACCAGCACAUACAUGCAGGAAGUCUUCAGACAUGUUGGUGUCCCAGGUGUCGUCGAUUGAAAUUCAUUUCGUACCAAGACAUUUCUACAGAAGGACUUCAUCAAAUUCUCAAGAUUAUCUAAAAAAAACUGCAACCAACAGGACAUGAGAUAUAAAUGUAUAUGUGUACAUGUCCCGACUUUUUUUCAAGAUUACGGGAGAAAUUGUGAAUACGAGUUCCGGAAGCAUUAUGCAAAGUUUUAAGCAUUCACAAGAUCCUGAUACUUUCAAUGUGUUCCCAUGUUUUCUUAAGUACAUGUAUGUCUGGAAAUCUUCAUGACAAAAGAAUUUAAUUAGUUUUAUGUAAUACACAAGAGUAAAAUGUCCUAAAGUACAAAUGCAUUUUUCCCUUAAUAUUUCAGAAAUAGCGGUAGUAAGGACACUUGAGCAUUCAACUUUGGUAACCCUUCAACCUCUGGACAACUUUCAAUUUUUAAAAUUUUGAAUACAUUUCAAUACACUUAAAUUCCACAUUCAGAGUUUGUGCUGCUGCGCACUCGCAGAUGAUACAGUUGUUAAAAAGUAGUCAUUUGUCCAUUUCAACAGGCAAUAAGGAAUUAUACUUUGAAAGAAUUAUGUAAAAUUAAUGUUAGCAGUACUUUUCUUCCUAUCUUUGGAGCCGACGUUUCUUACUUUGUGUGUGCCUAUAGCCCUUACAGUCCACAAUCCUCUUGAGUUUCAUAAGAUUUUACAUUCACCCUAGACGGACAGGGUUGAUCAAAUGCAUUCACCGUACUGCAGCAGAUCCUCGUUUGGGCAAUCAAAUACUUUCCAAUAAAACUGAACUGUGCCCUCACUCGAUGAAAUUCAACAUUUUGUGGUACCUGAUUGAUAAUUUCCGUACGUUCGACAGGGAUGAAGCAACAAUACAAAUACCGGUGGUCAAUUAAUUAUUCGAGCUUAAGGUAUAUGGAGUAAAUUGCAUUUGCAUAUUUGAAAAAACUAUUCAAAAAAUUAGGGGUGUGCAUUUUCGGGUAUUUAUGAAACCGGGUACCCUUUUUUGUUAACAUCGGGUACCCCGAAAAGAGAUCACUUAAUAACAACUGGCAUUGCGCGCGACCCCGUUGGACCAUGUGCCCGAAACACGGCUCCUUUUCGUACAUAGGAAGCAAGCACCACAUCAAUGGGGUUAACCUGUCCUACCUUUUGUCAAACGAAUUUGUUACCUUUAGUUAGCAAAUUGUCUUUUUCUGGGUAAAGGAAACAGAAAAACAAAAUUUUCACGAGGAACAUCAGAACAGACAAGAGCUACAAACCACCAACGCACCAGCAACUGCUCACAGGAAAUGUCCCUGAAAUGCGGAACGCGCUACACAAAUAGUGAGCGUUGGUCGUGUCACGUGCGGACUAGAUCAGUGCUACGUACGUCACGGGUUAAAAGGCUUUCGUGUACCAAAAUUACAUCCGUAACUCAAACAAUGUCCACACCAUUAUAUCCACAUAUUUUGAAGUUUCUGAUUCGUACAACUGCCACCAAAAUGCUUCAAAUGGCAUUGAAAGUAUUAUACAGGGUAAGGAGUCAUCAUUGCCAAUGCAUUUCUUUUUUCACAGGGACCAGUUGUAUGAACGUUGCAUAAACCAACGUUACCUGAAACUGCAAUCCUGACUUUCAAGCUACUGAAGCUAACCUGAUUGCAAACGCAGGCCCACUUGUAGUCCCCUUCAGGCAGUCUAAUUCCUGGCACUGCAUGCAGCGGCCAUGUGACCGCAAAAGGAAAGGUCAUGUGACCAUACAUAGGGAAGCCCAAGUGAAAAAAUAGGACUAUCUGCAGCACUUCACUUUGUAAACAAGACUAAGCGAUACGAAAGUUUUGCCACACGAAGGUAUCAAAAUAAAGUGAUUUAUUUUCACAAAUAAUUGCUUUGGGAUACAUCCAUUCCCAGAGGUUCGAGUUGUCAAGAUUUUAAUGUAUAAGUAAUUUGACAAGUGAAAUUUGACUGGCCGAACCAGAACCACACUUUGCCCAAAAGAGAUUGAUUCCAAAUCCAUUUCUCAAGACAAAUUCCUUUGGUCUCUUCGUUCACAGUUUUGGUGCAGUCAUUUUCCUGGUUCCGGAUCACGAAAACUAUUCGGUAAGAUUGCAGCUACAAAAAAAACCCCAAAUUCAGGUGAAAUAUGGUCAGAAGCCAACUUUGCGUUUUGGAAAUACCUCCAUUUUUGAAAAUCUAAGCUUUUAUAAUUGAACUCACAGGAUCGACGAAAGUGUCGGCACCUUCUAUUGUUCUGGAUUGAUUUCCGAUCAAGACAAAAACUUCUACAUUAAUAAAAAGUAACAACGCGAAAAAUCCAUUUUCAGCCAGAACCACUGUAAAAAGUUGCUUUUCUAAUAAAGAGUCUCUUAAUUCUCGAAAUUACAUUAAGAAUAAGAAUUCGAAUGAAUUAAAAAGUAGAAAUUGCGUGAAGUUUGACUCAACUUUUCAACUGGACAGACAGCUUACAUGUAUCAACGGUACUCUCCCCCGCGCUGCACAGCUGACGAAUGCAUCACGUCACAUGCUUUUAUGAUGUGCCUGUGUACUUGAGUUCGCAACUAAUUGCGUGGUAACGCUGCGAUCCGAAAGUAGGCGAAAAAGCUUUCAGUUUUCAGUCAAUUGACAAAGGACGGGAACUCUAAAAGUCAUUUUGAUUAAGCAGACAUUAGAUGCAAAAGUUUAUAUGACUAUUCAAUAUAAAAAAAAUAUUUGAAAUCACACGUACAGAGUGACUAUCGCCCAUGAAUUUUUGUGGUUUUUUUUGCUCUUGUGAACUAAGAAAAAUCUGGAACGAAGAAAAUGACUGCAGUACAACGGGCGGUGUGGAUAACAUACAAAAGUAACUGUUGAUCUCCGAACUGAAGGUUAAUGUAUGACUGUGGGACCGGGUUUUCAGCAGCAUAGUGAUUUUUUCGGCAAGUCUGCCCUUCAAUAUUAAAUUUCACUGGCAUUUUAUAAAUGGAUUUUUGGUCCUUAUGUAUUUACUUUUUUACGGGUACCUGGCCCGAAAAAAACUGGAACCGAGUUUUGAUAUCCACGUGCGGGUACCCAUGUACUCGGCACAGGCCUACUAUUCAUUAUAUUAAUUGCCCAUUAUUCUUUUUAGUCAGCAAGGGAAACAUUGUGUUUGUAUAUAUCUGCGAUCCCAAUCAAGGUCAUCUUAUUCCAAUGAUAUUGAACAGAUGAUGAAUUUCUGUCCUACGUACAAACUGAACUGAAAGUCUAAUAUAAAGUUUCUGGAGUCUGUUGUCAAUUAAAUUUGUAUGGGUAUUAUCAAAAGUGUUUCCGGUUGGGUGAAAAUUUGGGAGAGAGCAUAUGCAAACAUGUUCUGGUAGAUAUUGGCGGAAAGAUUCCUGGCGCUGAAAGGAAUCAGCAUGUAGUGUAAUGGCUGUAGCAAUGGGGUAGUGGACCCACAGGACCGAAUUUGAAUCUGGCCUGCUGCGUGCCAGCAAAACCACUGUAUCCUCUGAACUGCCUGUCCGAUUGGAUUAAAACCAUCAAAUGGCGUAUUGAUCAAAUCAACAGCUAUCAAAAUACUAGGAAUUAAAUUGUACUUUAGACCUUGAAACACUGAUCGAAAAUUAGGGCUGUUACGAUUCAUCGAUGCUGUAUCGAUAAUCGCGAUUCUUAAAUGCCAGGAUACGUCAUCGCGAUACAAAAAUGUGAAUCGCAAUAUUUGGGGGAAGGGGGAAUUAUGAUAAAAUAUGCAGUAAGUUGAAAAAAGUUGGACCUAAUAGAAAUUUAGAAUAUACAGCUUUAUAUUUUAAAUAUCACCUAUAUUAAUUAUUUCUUGCAAAAAAUAAUUUGGAUGAGUUUAACAGACAACCUGCUGCACAUGUACAGCAUCAAGUCAUCAAGUGAUAUAAUGUAGAUAUUUCUGUAAUUUUGAGGCAAAAAGGAGUGGAAAAGCCCUCUGCAUGUUGCAAACAGGCAAGAAGCUCUCGUUUUAGAUAUUUUUACACUAAUCAAGGCAGGUUUCUAUCACUCUUAGUGGCAAUACUUGUACACCAGCCAAGGUUUGCAUGUAAUUGAAUAGCCCAUUCAAUCAACACAAUAAAGGGCCAAACAAUUUUCCGACCUACUGUCCUAUUUUUGAGAAGCAGAAUUAUUUUCUGGGGCCCUAUCAAGUAGAUUUACACCUGCUGU
rnacentral:lncRNA from 1 species